rnacentral:rRNA from 1 species
GACGAACGCUGGCGGCGUGCUUAACACAUGCAAGUCGUACGGUAAGGCCCUUUCGGGGGUACACGAGUGGCGAACGGGCGAGUAACACGUGAGUAACCUGCCCAGAACCUUGGAAUAACGCUAAGCAAAUGGUGCUAAUACCGGAUAUGUGCUCCUGCUGCAUGGUGGGGGUUGGAGAGCUCCGGCGGUUGUGGAUGGCCUCGCGGCCUAUCCGCUUGAUGGUGGGGUAGUGGGCUACCAAGGCGGCGACGGGUAGCCGGCCAGAGGGGGUGACCGGCCACACUGGGACUGAGAGACGGCCCAGACGCCGACGGUUGGCAGCAGGGGGGAAGAUUGCACAAGGGGCGCAAGCCGGAUGCAGCAACGCCGCGGGCGGGAUGACGGCCUUCGGGUUGAAAACCGCGUUCAUCAGAGACGAAGCUUUUUGUGACGGUACCUGCAGAAGAAGCACCGGCUAACUACGUG